rnacentral:rRNA from 1 species
AUUGAACGCUGGCGGCAUGCCUUACACAUGCAGGUCGAACGGUAACAGGUCUUCGGAUGCUGACGAGUGGCGAACGGGUGAGUAAUACAUCGGAACGUGCCCGAUCGUGGGGGAUAACGAGGCGAAAGCUUUGCUAAUACCGCAUACGAUCUACGGAUGAAAGCGGGGGAUCUUCGGACCUCGCGCGGACGGAGCGGCCGAUGGCAGAUUAGGUAGUUGGUGGGAUAAAAGCUUACUAAGCCGACGAUCUGUAGCUGGUCUGAGAGGAUGAUCAGCCACACUGGGACUGAGACACGGCCCAGACUCCUACGGGAGGCAGCAGUGGGGAAUUUUGGACAAUGGGCGAAAGCCUGAUCCAGCCAUGCCGCGUGCAGGAUGAAGGCCUUGGGGUUGUAAACUGCUUUUGUACGGAACGAAAAGCCUCUUUCUAAUAAAGAGGGGUCAUGACGGUACCGUAAGAAUAAGCACCGGCUAACUACGUG